CCUACGGGUGGCAGCAGUGGGGAAUAUUGGGCAAUGGACGAGAGUCUGAACCAGCCAAGUAGCGUGAAGGAUGACUGCCCUAUGGGUUGUAAACUUCUUUUAUAUGGGAAUAAAAUGUUCCACGUGUGGGCUUUUGUAUGUACCAUAUGAAUAAGGAUCGGCUAACUCCGUUCCAGCAGCCGCGGUAAUACGGAGGAGCCGAGAGUUAUCCGGAUUUAUUGGGUUUAAAGGGCGCGUAGGUGGGUUGUUCAGUCAGUUGUGAAAGUUUGCGGCUCAACCGUAAAAUUGCAGUUGAAACUGGCAGUCUGGAGUACAGUAGAGGUGGGCGGAAUGCGUGGUGUAGCGGUGAAAUGCGUAGAUAUCACGAAGAACUCCGAUUGCGAAGGCAGUUCACUGGACUGCAACUGACACUGAGGCUCGAAAGUGUGGGUAUCAAACAGGAUUAGAUACCCGGGUAGUC
rnacentral:rRNA from 1 species